UACGUAGGGUCCGAGCGUUGUCCGGAGUUACUGGGCGUAAAGCGCGCGCAGGCGGCGGUAUAAGCAUGGCGUGAAAGCCCCAGGCUCAACCUGGGAGGGUCGUCGUGGACUGUACCGCUUGAGGGCGGUAGGGGCUGGUGGAAUGCCUGGUGUAGUGGUGAAAUGCGUAGAGAUCAGGCGGAACACCCGUGGCGAAGGCGGCCAGCUGGGCCGUCCCUGACGCUGAGGCGCGAAGGCGUGGGGAGCGAACGGGG
rnacentral:rRNA from 1 species